rnacentral:rRNA from 1 species
AUUGAACGCUGGCGGCAGGCCUAACACAUGCAAGUCGAGCGGCAGCGGGAAAGUAGCUUGCUACUUUUGCCGGCGAGCGGCGGACGGGUGAGUAAUGCCUGGGAAAUUGCCCAGUCGAGGGGGAUAACAGUUGGAAACGACUGCUAAUACCGCAUACGCCCUACGGGGGAAAGCAGGGGACCUUCGGGCCUUGCGCGAUUGGAUAUGCCCAGGUGGGAUUAGCUAGUUGGUGAGGUAAUGGCUCACCAAGGCGACGGUCCCUAGCUGGUCUGAGAGGAUGAUAAGCACAACUGGAACUGAAAACCGGGCCAGACUCCUACGGGAGGCAGCAGUGGGGAAUAUUGAACAAUGGGGGAAACCCUGAUGCAGCCAUGCCGCGUGUGUGAAGAAGGCCUUCGGGUUGUAAAGCACUUUCAGCGAGGAGGAAAGGUUGAUGCCUAAUACGUAUCAACUGUGACGUUACUCGCAGAAGAAGCACCGGCUAACUCCGUGCCAGCCGCCGCCGUAACAC